UCUGGGUUCUAUGCAAAAGAGUAUAUGCUUGAUUUUCGUGCCGCUGUUCCUCUGCAUAUUGCUUACAGCUAUUUCAACGUUGUGUCCUUCUAUAGAUAGCUGAUGUUCACAAAAGCGAAUUUUGACGUCAUCAUCUAAGUAGAAGGCUGAUCAUCAUGGAUGCAUUGACCUUGGUGGCUCUUCAAAGUGACUGCAGGUUAUGAGAAACGUAGAAACAUUGGUUUCUCAGUGAUUACAUGCUCUUCCAAUGGAAGGGGGCCUGAUUCAGUGAAGAACGAAGUGAAGAGUGUGGAACAGUUGGCUCAAGAGAAAAGGCGAGCUGACCUGUCUGCUCGGACUGCCUCAGAAGAGUUCACUGUGAAUAAAUCUGGUUUCAAAUAGGAUUGCAGCUUGCAAAAGCCUUGGAGCUUUUCUGAUCGCUACUGACCUUCAGUCAAGUAGUUUAAAGUGGAAGAGAUGGGUUUUGCAGCAGAAUCUCAGCCAAAACAGGGAAUGCCCUGAGGAAUGUAAGGAAGCUAUUGCACCACUGAUGCUUGCUGCAGCUAGAUUUUCUGGUUUACCAAAGUACAUUCUCUGACAUUAGGCAACUAUUUCAAGAGAGAGAUAUGAACUGUCUGACUCAUUGUAUAGAUGGAAAGUUUUUCAUGUGUUCUACUGUAUGACAAGCUUCGCUUUCGAAAGGCACAAGCUGAGAGGUGAGAAAAAAUAGCGGAGAGUUGAUACAGUCAGCAAAAAAGCUCCCCAAACUAAGCGGGUUGUUGACAACAAACUACUGGAGGAUUCCCUCCAUAUGCUUUAUUACUGCACUGUUCCAAUACAAGAAAAAGAAGAUGACUGAUAGAUUUCAGUUUGGUUUCAAAAGCUGAUCAUCAUGGAUGCAUUGACCUUGGUGGCCUCUUCAAACUGACUGCAGGUUAUGAGAAAAGUGUAUCAAUUUCUGUCUUCUCCAACAAUGAUGUUUUACUGAAUCUUCAGUCUCAAACUGAGAAAAGGGUGUUGAUAAUUUCAUCAAAGGUGCCUGACGUUUGCGUGGCUGGUACUCAAAUGGAAAAUAUGGUUUUUGAAAUUGUCAGCUCUGAUGGUGUUGUUGAUGAUACUAUUCAUCAUGACGAGAAAAGUGGCCAAUUACAUAUAGCUACAAUAAUGGCCGGUUCAUCAUCCAUGGAGGAAUCCGUUCGAUACACAUUCAAGCAUGGACGCUGUACAAUACCAAGACCCCCACACCCUACCUCGAAGAGUAGGGACUUAUUAUAUUAAACCAAAUAACUAAGCCAGAAAAUAAAACACCACUAAAAAAUAAAAAUAUUCCGCCGGAACAUAUAUUUAGACAUAUGUAUGUAGUAUUGCACACACCUAUCAUCAGAGAUACAUCUUAUGGUACUGCCAUAAACACAUCUACCCAUUACAUAUGUUUGUUACAUAUGUUUGAUUACAAAUAUAAUAAUGAUUAUAAACUUUUGUUGUUUUGUAUAUUGCGUUGAUUAUGCAUUUCAAUACUAUAAUGAAUAAAUACCAUUCUUGCUUUA